rnacentral:rRNA from 1 species
AUUGAACGCUGGCGGCAGGCCUAACACAUGCAAGUCGAGCGGAUGAAGGGAGCUUUCUCCUGGAUUCAGCGGCGGACGGGUGAGUAAUGCCUAUGAAUCUGCCUGGUAGUGGGGGAUAACGUCCGGAAACGGGCGCUAAUACCGCAUACGUCCUGAGGGAGAAAGUGGGGGAUCUUCGGACCUCACGCUAUCAGAUGAGCCUAGGUCGGAUUAGCUAGUUGGUGGGGUAAAGGCCUACCAAGGCGACGAUCCGUAACUGGUCUGAGAGGAUGAUCAGUCACACUGGAACUGAGACACGGUCCAGACUCCUACGGGAGGCAGCAGUGGGGAAUAUUGGACAAUGGGCGAAAGCCUGAUCCAGCCAUGCCGCGUGUGUGAAGAAGGUCUUCGGAUUGUAAAGCACUUUAAGUUGGGAGGAAGGGCAGUAAGUUAAUACCUUGCUGUUUUGACGUUACCAACAGAAUAAGCACCGGCUAACUUCGUG